UGUAAAUACCCUCCUUGGGUGUUUCCUCCCUAGACUUGGACCGCCGCAAGGCGGUCUUUUUUUGUCGGGUGG
rnacentral:sRNA from 1 species